GGGUGAGAAAGCUCCAUAUUCGACUUCUAAUCGGAAAGGGGGUGGGUAGCGCCACCCUCACCCC
rnacentral:tRNA from 1 species